rnacentral:misc_RNA from 1 species
CUUGGAUCUCUGAGCAUGUGCACGUCAAUCCUUUCUCUGAAACGCACGUACAACACACCUGUGCACUCGUUGUAGGUCCUUGAGAUAGAGGAUCUACGUUUCUCAUCAUCACACACGUCGUAUGUCUAGAAUGCGUUCAGAACGUCGAAUCUACUUCGAUGCUCGAUAAACGAAUACAACUUUCAGCAACGGAUCUCUUGGCUCUCGCAUCGAUGAAGAACGCAGCGAAUUGCGAUAAGUAAUGUGAAUUGCAGAUUUUCAGUGAAUCAUCGAAUCUUUGAACGCACCUUGCGCUCCUUGGUAUUCCAAGGAGCAUGCCUGUUUGAGUGUCAUCGAAUUCUCAACCAUGUCUCGAUCGACUUCGAGACCUUGGCUUGGAGUUGGGAGUUGCUGGUGGUGAAGGCCGUCAGCUCUCCUGAAAUGCAUUAGCAAAGGAUGGGCGAGUCUUCGUGUGACGGCCUUGGACGUGAUAAUGAUCGUCAUGGCUGGAGCACCUCUGGAUGCCGCUUCGGUCUUUUUGCUUCUAAAGCGUCCUGCAGUCGUAGUGCAGUCAGUCUUUCGAAACUUGACCUCAAAUCAGGUAGGACUACCCGCUGAACUUAAGCAUAUCAAUAAGCGGAGGAAAAGAAACUAACAAGGAUUCCCCUAGUAACUGCGAGUGAAGCGGGAAGAGCUCAAAUUUCGAAUCUGGCGGUCUUUGGUCGUCCGAGUUGUAAUCUAGAGAAGCGUCUUCCGCGCUGGACCGUGUACAAGUCUCCUGGAAGGGAGCGUCGUAGAGGGUGAGAAUCCCGUCUUUGACACGGACUGCCAGUGCUAUGUGAUGCGCUCUCGACGAGUCGAGUUGUUUGGGAAUGCAGCUCAAAAUGGGUGGUAAAUUCCAUCUAAAGCUAAAUACAGGCGAGAGACCGAUAGCGAACAAGUACCGUGAGGGAAAGAUGAAAAGAACUUUGGAAAGAGAGUUAAACAGUACGUGAAAUUGCUGAAAGGGAAACGCUUGAUGUCAGUCGCGUCGUCCGGGGAUCAACCUUGCUUCUCGCUGGGUGUACUUCCUGGUCGACGGGUCAGCAUCAGUUUCGAUCGCCGUACAAGGGCCAAGGGAACGUGACACUCUUCGGAGUGUGUUAUAGCCUUUCGUCGCAUGCGGUGAUCGGGACUGAGGAACUCAGCAUGGCUCCGCGCUCGUGCUUAGGAUGCUGGCAUAAUGGCCUUAAGCGACCCGUCUUGAAACACGGACCAAGGAGUCUAACAUGCCUGCGAGUGUUUGGGUGGCAAACUCGAGCGCGCAAUGAAAGUGAAAGUUGAGACCUCUGUCGUGGAGGGCAUCGACGCCCGGACCUGAGUCUUUGACGACGGAUCCGCGGUAGAGCAUGCAUGUUGGGACCCGAAAGAUGGUGAACUAUGCCUGAAUAGGGUGAAGCCAGAGGAAACUCUGGUGGAGGCUCGUAGCGAUUCUGACGUGCAAAUCGAUCGUCGAAUUUGGGUAUAGGGGCGAAAGA